UCUAACGCAACAGUUCUAGUGCAACGUUUAUGACCGUUGCGUUAGGUAUCUAUGGGGGUGGUUUUACAACGCUUUGACAACGGUUUACAAAAACCGCUUCGCUAGACCCAAUAAUUUUGAUUUGGGCCGAUUUUAUAGGCUGGUUUGGGCUUAACACUGAAACGAAAUCUCUUUUUUUUUCUCACCGCUUUACCAAAUAUCCCUCUUUCUCUCUCACUCAACUCAUCACCCCUUUCUAAAAUCUCCCUCUUCGUUCGCUCUGAGAGAUCGCCAUGGCCGAAAUUCGUCGAUCUCAUCGCUUAACUCGUCGCUAAUCUCUUCGCCGUUUUUCGAUCUCAUCGUCUCCGAUCUCAACUCUGAUUUCGUCGUCGAUCUCGUAACUAAUCUCUUCGUCAAGCUGCUGGUCUCGUCUCCGAUCUCAUCUCCGAUAUAGGUCGUCGAGCUCGCAGCUAAUCCGUCUCCGAUCUCACUCUCCUUUGGACUCUCAGCUAAUCCGUCUCCGAUCUCAUCUCCGACCAUUUCUCGCAGGCACAAGACGAGAUUACAUAUUGGACAGCUAGUGAAAGAUACAUCAGCAAAGCUUAAACAAGGUAGUGAAAACGAUCACCGUGUUGAAGUUAGCUGAGCAAGAAAAAUAAGAAAGAGAGCUACCAAGAAGAGUUAGAAGAGCGUUUAAUCUCGUUGAUUACAUCAUUAUUUGACCAUAUAAUAAAUGGCGGAAAACAGAGAUUGGAUGUAUAAUGCUCCUAGAGUGAGUGUGGAGUUCAUUAAUAAUGUCAAUGACUUUCUUGAGAGAGCAUUUGCUAAUGGAGCAGUAGGGGAUGAAAUAU